GAUGAACACUGGCGGCGUGCCUAAUACAUGCAAGUCGAGCGAACAGACGAGGAGCUUGCUCCUCUGACGUUAGCGGCGGACGGGUGAGUAACACGUGGAUAACCUACCUAUAAGACUGGGAUAACUUCGGGAAACCGGAGCUAAUACCGGAUAAUAUAUUGAGCCGCAUGGUUCAAUAGUGAAAGACGGUUUUGCUGUCACUUAUAGAUGGAUCCGCGCCGCAUUAGCUAGUUGGUAAGGUAACGGCUUACCAAGGCAACGAUGCGUAGCCGACCUGAGAGGGUGAUCGGCCACACUGGAACUGAGACACGGUCCAGACUCCUACGGGAGGCAGCAGUAGGGAAUCUUCCGCAAUGGGCGAAAGCCUGACGGAGCAACGCCGCGUGAGUGAUGAAGGUCUUCGGAUCGUAAAACUCUGUUAUUAGGGAAGAACAAAUGUGUAAGUAACUAUGCACGUCUUGACGGUACCUAAUCAGAAAGCCACGGCUAACUACGUG
rnacentral:rRNA from 1 species